rnacentral:rRNA from 1 species
CGAACGCUGGCGGCAGGCCUAAUACAUGCAAGUCGAACGGCUCUUCGGAGCAGUGGCGGACGGGUGAGUAACGCGUGGGAAUGUGCCCUUUGGUACGGAACAACACAGGGAAACUUGUGCUAAUAACGUAUGUGCCCUUCGGGGGAAAGAUUUAUCGCCAUUGGAGCAGACCGCGUUGGAUUAGGUAGUUGGUGAGGUAAAGGCUCACCAAGCCUACGAUCCAUAGCUGGUCUGAGAGGAUGACCAGCCACACUGGGACUGAGACACGGCCCAGACUCCUACGGGAGGCAGCAGUAGGGAAUCUUGCGCAAUGGGCGAAAGCCUGACGCAGCCAUGCCGCGUGUAUGAUGAAGGUCUUAGGAUUGUAAAAUACUUUCACCGGGGAAGAUAAUGACGGUACCCGGAGAAGAAGCCCCGGCUAACUUCGUGCCAGCCGCCGCCGUAAUAC